rnacentral:lncRNA from 1 species
UGGUUUUAAAAUUGGCUACAAACCACGUCAGUGGUUAUAAAAGCGACGUCUUAAGGCAUCUAAUACGGUGGUAAUCCAAAACAUAUUUCAAAAACACGUCGGUUGACAAGAAGAACCGACGUGCAUCCAAAACACGCUCAACACUGUUUCAGUCAAGUUGUCACUCUCAGCUUUACCACCAAAAACUAAAGUUGUCUUUCUCAACCUAAUUUUUCACGCCCCGCUCAAUGUUCUAAGUUUCCCUCUCCGUGAAAAUUCCCUUCCCUCUCGAUGAAGCCCUCUCUCCCUAUCUGAGUUCAAACCCUCUCUCUCUCUCUCUCUCCCUCUCUAUGACAUCUCUGCACCUAAACCCUCUCUCCCCAGCUCAAUCUUUUCUAAGCCGACUCUCACAUCUCAGAGAGACAGAGGCAACGAGGAGGUGGACUUCGGUGUCGGCUUCGUCACGAGGAUUGACUUCGGCGCCUUCUUCUGGAUCUUCGUCGGCGCCAUCUUCUUGAUAGUCGUCAUCGCAGGUAACUUCUCUUCGAGGUCCAGAGAGCGAAUCAGAAAGAGAGUCGAAAAGGUGAUGGCCAUUGGUGUCAUCGACAGAGUGAACGUCGUCAUCGCGCUCGUCGCGGUCACGGUCAUCACGGUCCUAGCCUUUUAGAGAAGAAGAUCGACAAAGAGGUUUCAUUUCAUUUUCCUCGACUCUCCGACGCCGACCCCAACCCCAAAUCCAAAUCCUAUCUUCGAUCUCGGACCUCAAGGUAAGGCUCUCUCUUUCUCUCUGUGCUACCACUCAUGUUUUAAAGAUUUUUGUGAUUCUAAUAUUACAGAGAGAUUUUAGAGAUUUCAGUUAUAUUGCUCUUUGAGUUUUGAGUGAUAGUUUAGUUUCUGUAAGAUUCCCUUAGUAUUUUAAUAAAUUCACUGGUGACUAUUUAACCCAUAUGUUUUGUUUGUAUUGUUUUUUGUUCUUCUGUAUAAGAUCCAUAUCUCUUGUUUGGGAGUCUGCAGGAUCUUGUGGACUUGCUGGAAUUGAAAAUGCCUCUCAUCUAUAAUGUAUGUUUAAUGUUUUGAUUUUUAUUUAAAUCAUAUGAAUUCCUAAGUGCAUUGACAACUAAAAUUAAUUGAUUGGUUUGUGUAGCAAUAGUCUAACUUGUGGAUUGGAUUUGCUUGCAAGUUUGGAUAUGAAUAUAUGCUUAUCAGAAUAGCUAUAGCUUGCAAGUUGGAACCACAUUAUUAAUUAUGUGGAUAUAAUUUUAUUUUUUCACCACCCUUUCAGUAUGUAUAUCUUUUGCAUUGUUGGGAAAUCUGAUUAGAUUUAUAUUUUCCUUUUAGAUCCAUAGACAGCAGGGGAGUGGCUGGACCAAGAUUCCAUAGAGUAAUGGUUUAUGAUUUUCCUCAAAUGUUUUAAUUCAUGCUUUUAUAUGCACCUUUAAUACAAUUCAUCUCACGGGACUAAUAUCAAGCACAGUACUUUUGUUAACUAAGUUCCCAAGUUGUUAAUGCCUAUAUGUUUUUUUUAACAGGGACUUGGGGUUUUACAAUUUAACUGGGGAAUCCCACAAUCCAUGAGUGGUUUAAAUUUAAUUCACUUGUAAGGAUGAUACUGCAGUUGUUCUCAAGUCAAGGCUGAGGCAUCUAUUUUAUUGUUGGUGGACCACAUAUUCAACAAUAUUUUUUGACACUUGAAUUUCUGUGACUGUCCACCCUUGCCAUUUCAUUUCUUAACUUCAUGUUUUGUAAUGAUUUUCCUCAGGUAAUUUCUAAACUACAGUACCUUGACCUUUGGGGGAGUAAAAUAUCCGACCAAGGUACAAUUCCUUGACCUUUGGCUCUCCUUUCAUUUUAUUUUGUGCUUGCUCAUUUCAGUUUUAGGCUUAAUCACCCAGACCAUAUCUUCUAAACUUCGUUUUCUUUUCUCACAUGGUUAUCAAGUUUGGCUUAAUCACCUAGGCUUUUUGUUCUGACAGAUAAGUUUGCAUUAAUUUUAUUGUGAUAUCCAAUUACAGGUAGUUGCUGGAUUAGCAGCUGAUGGAAGGCAAAUUGUUGGCAGGACCAAGUCUGAAGCUAACAACUAUGAAAGCCUACAUGAUAGUAUAUAUGUCAUUAACUUUCUCUCCGAAUCUCUCUCUCAGUAAAGCAGGUAGUACUGGAUUAGUCCUCAAGCUGCUGUCAUUCUAAAGUUGCAUAGAUCUUUUUGCUAAGGUUAAGGUUGUUGCUAAACAGGUUUAUGUUUAAGAGUAUUGGGGUCCAGGUCCUUUCGACACCACCAACUUGAAAAAUGUUUGCAAGAAGGCAGAGCUAAGUCAACCCAAUAACAAAUUGAUGAAGUUAAGAUUAGUAGAAUUUGUGAGGUCCAUUAUUUCUGAUUAUAGGUAGGAAGUAUGUAUGUAAUAGAAUAAAGAUUGGUUGACUAUGUAAUAACUAUUGAAUCUUCAAGUUUUAUGAAAGAAAUAAUUUUUGAG